UCUACAUAAGACCUCGGUAGGUUGUUUAGUUCAUAUUUAACCAAAGAGCAUUCGAGAGUGUCGUGUGCAUUGUGCAGUAAAUAUGAUACUGAAAUCGGGUUUUUCAUAUAUUUUGCUAAUCAUUGUAUUAAUGAACUUUGGAUAUACAAAAACAGAUUCAGAGAAUGAUGUGGAAACUCCAGAGGAGCUGAAUAAUGAUGGCAAAGCAACCUCUGAAGAGGAUUCACCGUCCAUUACUGAAGAACAACUGAUAAAUUCCUUGAAUCAAUUGGAACGUGAGAUAGAGAAAUAUGAAGAACAACACACAGAAACUUAAGUUUAAUCGCACUGCAUAUUGUACUCCAAAUUUCAAUUAAAUCGGCAAUCAUGAGUAAUAUACUUAAUAAUAAACUUUAAUAUAAAUCUGUGUGCUCUAUCGAGAA